UUUACACACCUCUGAGACAACCCAACUGCAACCCUGCACACCAAAUUGGCAUCUUUAUGUACAGGAAUCUGAACUAGGGCCCAGGGUGCAAUCAGAAAACGUGGAGGAACGUAAUUUGCAUAGAUAGAUCCUCCCCUUCUCAGACUAUGAAUAAGGCAAGAGAGAAAGUUGGGGGAACCUCUGCUCAGCAUCAGGAACAGAAGGCACAGCUCAGGAUAACUUUCAUCAUGGCUUGGUCCUGUCUGCUCUUCACAUUCCUCAUUCAGUGCACAGGGUCCUGGGCCCAGUCUGUGCUGACUCAGCAGCCCUCACUAUCUGGGAAUCCAGGUCAAAGGGUCACCAUCUCCUGCACUUGAAGCAGCAACAAUAUUGGUGGUAAUUAUGUGCACUGGUACCAACAGCUCCAAGAAAAG